UUUCGAAACUUACUACGAAUCAUAAAAUAAAAACACUUUCUUAUUGUUGAGGAGAAUGGAAAGGGUACUAUGCUAACUGCAACUGGUCUUGUAGUAGCUAGAUGCAUCUGGUUCUGCAGUAUCG